rnacentral:rRNA from 1 species
UACGGAGGAUGCAAGCGUUAUCCGGAAUGAUUGGGCGUAAAGCGUCCGCAGGUGGCAAUGUAAGUCUGCUGUUAAAGAGUGAGGCUCAACCUCAUAAAAGCAGUGGAAACUACAUGGCUAGAGUGCGUUCGGGGCAGAGGGAAUUCCUGGUGUAGCGGUGAAAUGCGUAGAGAUCAGGAAGAACACCGGUGGCGAAAGCGCUCUGCUAGGCCGCAACUGACACUGAGGGACGAAAGCUAGGGGAGUGAAUGGG